UUCAGUUACCGUUCUAGCUAGGUUUUUUCCUUUAUUGUUCGAUAACUUUGAGCAACUGGUUCUGAUAUUCUUUGCUUCAUUCUCGUCUACAAAGUCUGAUUAUUAAGAUGGCAGAUGCGCAUGUUUUUGAUAGUGCUGAACCUGCUGGAGUAAUUUCGAACCUACAACCACGACAAAUGAGAAAGGGAAGGGGGAAGACAAGAGGGUUUUCAAUCCAAAAGAAAUGCAAAAAUAAUUCCAAUGGAAAGCUAGAGGUGAUUAUCCCACCCGAUCGAACAGUAGCAGUUGGUCCUGGAGAUAGUGACUUUGUUAUUGAGCUUUCGGUCACUGUUGACCAUAAUGCUAAGCAUGAUGUCAAAUCUUGAAAGAAAGUUUCUGAUCUAGCAAAAGAAAAGAUUGUUGCUCAUAUGUCGGUAAUUCUCUUUGUGUAAUUUAAGUUUAUAAUUAUUGUUCUUGAGUGAGUCAACUAAUACGCGGUAAAGUUCUUUUCGGUAUCUGUUGUAGGAAUAUUGUGAGAUAGAUCUUAUUAUUUAAUUACUCUGCGACGAAGUUUGUAGAAGUACACUGUGUUUGCUUGAAAUUUUCCUACUGGUGCA